AGGGAUGUAGUGUAUGGUGGGUGCACAGCUGCUUUCCUUUCAGUAGACAUGUUGGAAUGAAGCAGCAAGACCGGGUUCAAUUCCCCGCGUCCCUA